GGAUGCAAGAAAUUAAAGGCCAAUCAUGGGCCUGCCUUCAAUAAUGAGAAAACACUUCCUUUAUAGGUCAUCCAUUAAAGAUCUCAACAUAUAAAGAUUUAAACAAUCCAAUUUAGUUCAACAUGUUCAAAGUCAAUAACAAUUAAUAAAAAAAAAAUCAUGCCUAAUAUAAAAUAUUGUUUGUUUCUCCAAUCCUGACCGACCCUGCAAAAAUGGCCCUACUCAUAAAAUUUUAUUGUCAAAACUAAGCCAAAUAUUAUUUUAUUCAUUUCUGAUUUUCGGGCUUGCCGGAUCAUCCGAUAAUAUUCAGGCUUUUGGAGAAAUAAAAAUUAUUUCCCUACCUACCUACCCACACCUACCUACCCACACCUGGCUUGUCAGAGUAAGGAUUAGGGAAACAAACAAUAUAUUAAUUUAGGCCUCAUGUCUGUGAGCACUCAACCUGACCAUAAUAUAGGACAGUGGUUCAAAUAUUAACACAACAUAUGAACAUUCUAUAACAACUAUUGCAAGUGGCUCAACUUUAAAUAUCACUGCAAGGCACUAAACAACGAAUAUUAAAUCUUGGACACA
rnacentral:lncRNA from 1 species